GGUUACAUAUAUUAGAGUGAUGGUGUUACUGAUAACUCUUUGCAAUAAAAAUUCCACUCAAUCUUAAGAAUGACAUGGUGAUGCACACAAUGACCGUGAGAGAGAAUGUAGAGUUCUCAGCAGCUCUUCGACUUCCAAUGUCUAUAACGAGAGAUGAAAAAAGAAGACGAAUUAAUGAGGUCCUUGAACUUCUGCAUCUGGAUGAGGAGUCAAAUGUCAAGCCUAGAUCAAAGGAGCUCAGGAAGAGGACCAGUAUAGCAAUGGAGCUCAUCACCGGGCAUCCUGUUUUGUUCCUGGAAGACCCCACCACUGACUUAGACUUGAGCACUACUACUGAUGUCUUCUCGGUCCUGAGAAGGAUGUCUAAGAGGGGACAGACAAUUAUCUUCUCCAUUACUCAGCCUCCGUAUUCCAUCUUCAGAUUUUUUGAUACCCUCACAUUAGUGGCCUCAGGAAAAGUCAUGUUUCAUGGCCCUGCACAGAAGGCUUUGGAGUACUUCACAUCUGCAGGUAUGAUUGACUUUUGCUGUGAAA
rnacentral:lncRNA from 1 species